GGAGCUGGACCCUUGUGUCAGGAGCCUAGUGUCUGGGAAUAAGGUAAAGGGACCUUCUGUCCCUUGCAGAUUAAUCUGCUGAGUCUCUGUCUUAUGUUCUGCAGUCAAGUUUUGAGUUCAAAGACACUUUCAAAUUCACCUCCAGAGGCAACAGCUCAUCUGGACUAAAACACUUGUACCUGGGAUGAUAUUAAGAAUUUAUAACUAACAUAGGAUUCAGAAAUGGGUCAUCACAGUGACAGACUGACAAUGAGUUGGAAUGAAGACCCUAUUGGUGUGGUGGUAAAGUUGACCUGAGUGAGUCACAAGAGCAGGAGAACUGUCCCUUACCCUUCCUGAGGAGCAUAAUCAAGAUGACUGUGGAUGAAGGGGUUUCAGACAGGUUAACAAUGUUGGCGAUCAGAGGACAACUAGUCCUGGCCCAGAGCUUCACAUAAAUUUCAUAGCUUAGCUUAGAUAAAUUAUUUCUGUCAAGUCUUGUAUUGUACAAAAGAGCAUGGGAAGCAAGUCACUAAUUGAAGAGACAGUCAACUGAAUGGGAGAGAAUCUUUGUUAACUACCCACUUGACAGUGACUUAGCAUCUACAGUACACAAAGAACUAAAAAAUACUAAAAUAACUAGGAAUCAAUCUAAUUGUAAAAUGGGCUUAAGAGAUGAACAAACAUUUUUUAAAAGAUGAAGUGUAUAAUUCACCAAUGAGCAUAAAAGUGUUCAACCUCAUCGUCUAUCAGAAAAACACAAAUAAAAACAGUUUUGAGAUUC
rnacentral:lncRNA from 1 species